rnacentral:piRNA from 1 species
UAUAAGAUUCACUGUAAUUAUACUCAGC